GAAUUACAAUUUUAUUUUUACAUAUUUAUUUAUAUUGUAGUGAAACUGUCGGUAUCUCCACAACUUUUCAAUUAAAUAGAAAGUUUCAAUCAAACAGGAUACUGAGUGUGCCUCUGCUCCUCAAGACAAUGGAUAAUAGGAGUUAUCAAACUUGCGAUAACUACAAGUUUUUUUAAUAAGUAAAAAGAUUGUAUGACUUCGGUAUCCGCAAUAUGGUAUCGUGCAUUGGUUCUUAUCUUAGAAUGGCUCCCUUCCGUAUAGGUGAAAAUAAGAAAGGUUAUCAGUUCAAGCAAAGAUGACAAUGAUCGUUAUGGAGCCGAUCAUGAUGACGAAUACGAUAAUGCAUAUAAUAAUAAAUAAAAUGAUUUUACUUGUAUUUUAGACUUAUAUAAAUAAAAAGUUAUCUGUUUAA